rnacentral:rRNA from 1 species
UACGAAGGACCCGAGCGUUAUCCGGAUUUAUUGGGUUUAAAGGGUGCGUAGGCGGAUUAGUAAGUCAGUGGUGAAAGCCCAUCGCUUAACGGUGGAACUGCCAUUGAUACUGCUAGUCUUGAGUAUGGUUGAGGUGGGCGGAAUGUGUCAUGUAGCGGUGAAAUGCUUAGAUAUGACACAGAACACCAAUUGCGAAGGCAGCUCGCUAAGCCACAACUGACGCUGAGGCACGAAAGCGUGGGGAGCAAACAGG